GGCGGCGUGCCUAAUACAUGCAAGUCGAACGCACUCUCGUUUAGAUUGAAGGAGCUUGCUCCUGAUUGAUAAACAUUUGAGUGAGUGGCGGACGGGUGAGUAACACGUGGGUAACCUGCCCUAAAGUGGGGGAUAACAUUUGGAAACAGAUGCUAAUACCGCAUAAAACCUAACACCGCAUGGUGUAGGGUUGAAAGAUGGUUUCGGCUAUCACUUUAGGAUGGACCCGCGGUGCAUUAGUUAGUUGGUGAGGUAAAGGCUCACCAAGACCGUGAUGCAUAGCCGACCUGAGAGGUAAUCGGCCACACUGGGACUGAGACACGGCCCAGACUCCUACGGGAGGCAGCAAUAGGGAAUCUUCCACAAUGGACGAAAGUCUGAUGGAGCAACGCCGCGUGAGUGAAGAAGGUUUUCGGAUCGUAAAACUCUGUUGUUGGAGAAGAAUGUAUCUGAUAGUAACUGAUCAGGUAGUGACGGUAUCCAACCAGAAAGCCACGGCUAACUACGUG
rnacentral:rRNA from 1 species